rnacentral:rRNA from 1 species
GAUGAACGCUGGCGGCGUGCCUAAUACAUGCAAGUCGAGCGACGCGUGGACGGGUGAGUAACACGUCGAUAACCUCCUUUAAGACUGGGAUAACUUCUGGAAACCGUAGCUAAACCGGAUACUUAUACAUGGAUCCUGGCUGCAUUAGCUGGUUGGUAAGGUAACGGCUUACCAAGGCAACGAUGCAUAGCCGACCUGAGAGGGUGAUCGGCCACACUGGAACUGAGACACGGUCCAGACUCCUACGGGAGGCAGCAGUAGGGAAUCGUCCGCAAUGGGCGAAAGCCUGACGGAGCAACGCCGCGUGAGUGAUGAAGGUCUUCGGAUCGUAAAACUCUGUUAUUAGGGAAGCGGUACCUAAUGAGAAAGCCACGGCUAACUACGUGCCAGCAGCCGCGGUAAUUC